rnacentral:lncRNA from 1 species
UUAAAUCGGUUAGGGCUUUUGCCAACCUCUCAAACUCUUCACGUGUGACGUUCUCGGCCAUCACUUGAUUUUGUUCUCACAAAUCCGUCCAGAACAAAUCACUGGAAUAAAUCGCAAAGGAUUUUUUUUUUUUUUUUUUACGUGUGCUGGACUACAAAUCCGUUCUGAUCGCAACUACAACUUGUCCAGAACGCGACUCCGUCCAGAAUGCAAAUCCGUCCAAAUCUCAGGUGUGCAGAUCGCAAAAAAAAAUCCGUCCAGAAUGCAAAAAAUCGCAAAACAACAAAAAAAAACUGAAAAUCGCAAAUCAGACUCCGUUCUAAUCGUGUAAUCCGUCCAGGUGAAUGAGAUCGCAAAUUCUUGCAGAUCGAGAAUGCAGAAUUGCGAUAAUGUAGAAUCCGUCCAGGUGAAAAAUCCGUCCAGGUGCGUUCUUGGCCAACUGCAGAUCAGGAAUCCCUCCUAGUCUGAUACCACUUGAUGUAGGCCUUGAACAGUUGAAGGAGACAGAUUCAAUGGAUGAGAGAAAUCUGUCCAGACUUGCGUUCCAAACCAAUGGAACAGUAAAUUAUAGAACUAGGGUUUAUGUUCUCCCUUGAAGAUCGAUAGAGAUAGAUGAGAUUAUCCCAAUCCAAAGAUAAUCGUGGUGUGGAAAAUGGC